CCUACGGCGGGCAGCAGUGGGGAAUAUUGGACAAUGGGCGAAAGCCUGAUCCAGCCAUGCCGCGUGUGUGAAGAAGGCCUUCGGGUUGUAAAGCACUUUCAGUGGGGAAGAAAGCCUUGGGGCUAAUACCCUCGAGGAAGGACAUCACCCACAGAAGAAGCACCGGCUAACUCCGUGCCAGCAGCCGCGGUAAUACGGAGGGUGCGAGCGUUAAUCGGAAUUACUGGGCGUAAAGCGCGCGUAGGCGGUCUGAUAAGCCGGUUGUGAAAGCCCCGGGCUCAACCUGGGAACGGCAUCCGGAACUGUCAGGCUAGAGUGCAGGAGAGGAAGGUAGAAUUCCCGGUGUAGCGGUGAAAUGCGUAGAGAUCGGGAGGAAUACCAGUGGCGAAGGCGGCCUUCUGGACUGACACUGACGCUGAGGUGCGAAAGCGUGGGUAGCAAACAGGAUUAGAUACCCUAGUAGUCC
rnacentral:rRNA from 1 species